ensembl:lncRNA
AGUAGAGACUGGUAGAAUCAGUAGAGACUGGUAGAAUCAGUAGAGACUGGUAGAAUCAGUAGAGACUGGUAGAAUCCCACUGUAGUAGAGACCGGUAGAAUCAGUAGAGACUGGUAGAAUCCCACUAGACUGGUAGAAUCCCACUGUAUCAGAGACUGGUAGAAUCCUGCUGUAGUAGAGACUGGUAGAAUCCCACUGUAGUAGAGACUGGUAGAAUCCCACUGUAGCAGAGACUGGUAUAAUCCCACUGUAGUAGAGACUGGUAGAAUCCCACUGUAUCAGAGACUGGUAGAAUCCCACUGUAGUAGAGACUGGUAGAAUCCCACUGUAGCAGAGACUGGUAGAAUCCCACUGUAGUAGAGACUGGUAGAACUGUCAGACAACAGACCCAGCCCUAGUGUUACUGACAACAGACCCAGUCCUAGUGUUACUGACAACAGACCCUAUUGUUACUGACAACAGACCCAAGUGUUACUGACAACAGACCCAGCCCUAGUGUUACUGAUAACAGACACAGUCCUAGUGUUACUGACAACAACAGACCCAGCCCUAGUGUUACUGACAACAGACCCAGUCCUAGUGUUACUGACAACAGACCCAGCCCUAGUGUUACUGACAACAGACCCAGCCCUAGUGUUACUGAUAACAGACCCAGCCCUAGUGUUACUGACAACAGACCCUAGUGUUACUGACAACAGACCCAGUCCUAGUGUUACUCCCAACAGACCCUAGUGUUACUGACAACAGACCCAGUCCUAGUGUUACUGACAACAGACCCUAGUGUUACUGACAACAGACCCUAGUGUUACUGACAACAGACCCAGUCCUAGUGCUACUGACAACAGACCCUAGUGUUACUGACAACAGACUCUAGUGUUACUGACAACAGACCCAGUCCUAGUGUUACUGACAACAGACCCUAUUGUUACUGACAACAGACCCUAUUGUUACUGACAACAGACCCAGCCCUAGUGUUAGUCCCAACAGACCCUAGUGUUACUGACAACAGACCCAGUCCUAGUGUUACUGACAACAGACCCAGUCCUAGUGCUACUGACAACAGACCCAGUCCU